rnacentral:lncRNA from 10 species
CUUUUCUAGUGUUCCACAGCAGGUCUGUAACAAGUGGGCUUAAAUCUCACGUCUUUAUCCUUCACCAUGCUGAAUGGACUGAGAAAUGCCCACCCACUUGUGACACAGAACUAUAUACCCUCUCGUUUCAGGAUGUUGAUAUAAGGUCUCAUUGCCUUCCUCAGCAAUCUUCUGAAUCUGGCAUUCCUUCUGAGAAGACUAACAAGCAUUCAUCCAAAAUGUUCGUCAUUGGAAAGUUAGCUGUAAUUUGAUCUAACUUCUCACUCAAUAUGAUAGUUUUUUUUUGGUAUACAAGAGACCUGAUGGAAUCUUUCUUAGGCACCAUGUCGUGCAAAGCUGCCAAAAGUGAACGCAUCCACACCAGCCAGCACGGCACUGGAGACUCCCGUGAGCAUGUUCACUGCUGCGAUGACCCCAAUUAACAGUUUAAUGGGGGAAAUGUACAGAGGGGAUCUGAAAACUGUUGAAGUCACCAAAGCAUUACAAGAUGCCAAGAGAUAAUGGUCAAAAACAGCCUAAUAACACACAGUGCCCAUGUGCAUGCUCCACUAUCUCAAGCCACUGUCACCCUGGAUCUUCUGCAGCACUGGCUGGGUGAGUACACCCGGUGCUCCUGUUCCAGGGUAUUGAUGGAGAAAUGAGAAUGGAGAAUUUCGAUCACUUAAUUGAAGUCUCUAAGAUACAGCUGUGUUGGAGCCAGGUAAAAAGCCAGAUCUCCUGGACUUUUCAUUAUAUAAGUUUUCAGAAUAUUUCCAUAAGUUUCCAUAGGCAGACAAGGAGAAUCCUAGGGAAAUACUCCGUAAUAUUAUGAAUGUGAAUUUCAUGAAAAUCUCAUCUUAGUUUUAGAUUAAAAUUUGAGGUUAGGGAGCAAGGGACAAUCUAUUCGUUAAAAAUAAAAUAUCAACUCUUCCUAGCUAUCUUUUUUUCAACUGGCUCAUCCUGUUUUUUGGAAUGAGACAAACUAUUAAGAAUUCAACUUCACUUUCCUCCCCUCCCUUCCCAUCUCUUCCCCUCCCCUUCCUCUUUCCUUCCCUUCCCUUCCCUCCCCUCCCUUCCCUUCCCCUUCUCCUUCCUUCCUUCCUUUCUUCCUUCCUUCCUUCCUUCCUCUUAUCUGUACAAACUAUUAUUUGCUUUUACCAAAUAGUUAUUUAUAAGAAAAACCUAAGUCACUUUCAAAUGUCGGUGAUUACACAAAACAAGAUUAUAGCAUACUAUUUCAGGGUAAAUUGCUAAUAUCAUUUUAAAAAUUACAUAUGCCUCUAACAACAUACUUGAUUCUUUCGUUUACAUUAAGUUAAAUCAAAAGUCCUCCCACCUCAAUCCUAUUGGCAAGUGAAAAACAACUCCAGGGAAUGAACAUUUGUAUUUGACAGGCCACUAUGGGGAGGGUUACUGAUGAGCUGCAAAGUUGGCACAGAUUCGGCUUUUAAAGUAUAGCUGUAUUGUUUUUCAUGGACUCAGAAUCAGUGGUGGAUACUGCCGUUGAGGAAUUUUUGAUGCCUUUCUCACCUGGGGAAGGUGAACACUGCACUGAAUGAAGGGCUUUCAGGUCUUCCUCAAAGUCAAGCAGGAAAUCUUCAAGGUCACGUUCAUCUGCAGCACAAGAAGUCCUGGAAUGAUUAGUUCUGACUCUCUUUUCAAGGGACCAAAUCCCAGAGUGGAGAGUCCUGGGUUAUUCUGGAGACAUGAACUGUCACAAAUUCCUUGUGCUCUAGCUUUCUUGCAAGUUAUUAUAAAGUUGCCUUUGGAUGUUUGACUCAAGCUGCUAUGACAUACUAUUCUAGUACAACUGGGGGUGAGGGAGAGUGACCCAAGACGCCGGGUGUAACAUCUAAACUCUCAUUCUGCUCGUGUUCCCUGCAGCUCAUGAUGUCCCCACAUUGCAGAGCUAAAUUAGAGGAGGCUAUGGGCCUCUUCGUUCAGAGUAGGAACCGCUUUAUCCAAAUUUCUAACACUAUAAAAGCUAUACUGCAAAUGUUCUAGGCUGUGUUCUCUGAACACCAGAGAAUCAGACACAGUAAGUUUCAGUCUUCCCUGGGGAAUUCUGUGUAACAGAGGACAAAACAAAUAACUACUUGGUGCUUGGUUUAGCUAUCCAUGAAAUAGGAGUUUUGUGAUCUAACAUAUUUCCCCAAAGAUACAGAUUUAAUUGGUCUCAUGUGGGAAUUGGGGACCAAUAUUUUUUAAAAGUUGCUAUGUGAGUGUAAUAUGUGGUCCAGGGUUGAGAAUCACUGCCUUUGAAAAUAAACUCCAUGAAUGACCUUCUCUCUGUGUUGUUCAUUGUGUACUUUCAAGGCCUAGAACAGUGCCUGGCACAAAGUAGGCUCUCUAAUAACUUUUUGCUUGUGUUUUUAUGUUUUGAGUGAAUAAUUUUGGAGAGAAAUUAGAGUGGGUGAGGCAGGAAGAGCAAAAACUGAAGCAAGAACAAGAACAAGACACAUGCUGUGGCCUAAAACAAAAAAGGCAAGGACCAAGAUAUCAGUUCCUUAAACAGAUACACAUGCAGGAAAAACUGGUAAGGUUAUCUGCAGACAGACUGAAUCAUACUUGCUUUGGAAUCAACAAAUCAUUAAGGCCCAAAGCAUGAGAAGCCAUCCUUCUGUUUAGUCUGUUUAGACUUUGUGCAAACUCGCAGGGUUGGCAGGGAAGGCAGGGGGUGGUGCCCAAAGCACCUCCUCAUUACCACAGGUGUGGUUUGAGAGGCAUUGUUGUCUGUUUAGGUAACGUCUUAAUUCAAGGAAAGCCAAGCUUUACAGACAUUAUCUCAUUUCACCUUCCAGACAGAUACCCCGGGGUGGGGUAGGUGAGGAGAAUGAUUUAGAAUUAGUUGGACAAAAAGCAGGAUUCUUUAGCCCUUCUGCUGAAAUAUGAAGGAAUCUAAAAUGUUUAUAUCUUUCAAUCCUUCCAGGCCAUAAGAAUGAAAAUGGAUUUUGUCUUCUGGAGAAAAAGUUUCUGAAGUACGUAUGAAAAAGACAUCCUCAGAAACAGACCCUUUAAAAAGCUGAUGGAAACAUCAUGUCAGUAAUCACCCCUGAGGACAGUAUAUGCUAAGGGGGAAUCUAAUUAUACAUAUAAAUAUAAGAAUUCACCUACAGAACAGAUGAAAUUUUAGGAUAAAUCCUGAGCUAGUUUUCUCUUUCUCAAGUAGUCUUUAAAAAGUGGGAUUUAUUCACAAUUUGCUGAGGUACAAGGACUUGUCUGAAGUUCAGAUAAUCUGUUUGAUAAUUUUUUUUCCUUUUUUUUUGAGACAGUCUUGCUCUGUUGCCCAGGCUGGAGUGCAGUGGCGUGAUCUCAGCUCAGCUUGCUUUGGAAUCAACCUGCCUCCCGGGUUGAAGCGAUUCUCAUACCUCAGCCUCCCAAGUACCUGGGAUUACUGGCAUGUGCCACCAUGCCUGGCUACUUUUUUGUAUUUUUAGCAGAGAUAGGGGUUUCACCAUGUUGGCCAGGCUGGUCUUGAACUGCUGACCUCAAGUGAUCCAUCUGCCUCGGCCUCCCAAACUGUUGGGAUUACAGGUGUGUGCCACCACACCCGGCCUGUUCGAUGACUUUUCAUCAAACAUAAUUCAUUUCCAUGUGUUCCACUGAACACAACACAAUUUCAUUACCAUGGCAUAGCAAGUCCUACCUUGAGCCUGAAACAUUCCAGCAUCUUUCUUAUGAAGGUCGUCCAUACUGCUGUUGUCACCUUUAUUCCAUUGAUUAGAAAUCUUAUAGGCAUUCUCACACACUCCAAAUGCACAGCACUGGUAAGCAUAAGGCAUUUCUAUAACCCUUUAAAUGAACAAAACCCAAACAAAAAACACUUAAAGAAACGGAUAAUUAAAUAUAGUGUUCAUGUUCUUUCACCCAAUUAUUCUACCUUUGGAUUUUAGCCUAAAUAAAUAAUCCAAAGUAUAAGUUAUGCACAUAAAGGUGUUCAUUACAGUGCUAUUUAUAAAAACAAUGAAGUUAUUAAAAAUGAUCACUAUGAAAUGUUAAUUGCUGAAGCUGAGUGAUGCAACUUCCAUUACUCAAAUGAUGGAAAAUUUCCAAAAUAAAAAGGUUAAAAAAAAGGCUGCUAAGAAAAAUUGUAGCAACAUGAAAAAGUGCUUAUGGCAGAAUAAGUGACUACAAUAUGACAUAUAUUUCUAUGCACAUUUUGAGUCUAACAAUAAAAAAUGCACUGGAAACAAAGCUUGGAAAGAAGUAACUUAACCAUGUUGUUUAGAGUGGCAUUUUUAAGAUUUUUGUUCCUGGAUGCUUAAUAGAGACUGGGAAGGGUGGACUUGGGGGGAAGUGGGGAUGGUUAAUGGGUACAAAAAAUAGAAAGAAUAAAUAACACCGACUAUUCAAUAGCACAACAGGGUGACUGUAGUCAAUAAUAAUUUAAUUGGGCAUUUUAAAAUAAAGAGUGUAAUUGGAUUGUUUGUAACUCAAAGGAUAAAUGCUUGAGGGGAUGAAUACCCCAUUUUCCAUGAUGUGCUUAUUACAUAUUGCAUGCCUGUAUCAAAACAUUUCAUGUACCCCAUAAAUAUAAACACCAAC